rnacentral:rRNA from 1 species
UGGGGAAUAUUAGACAAUGGGCGCAAGCCUGAUCUAGCCAUGCCGCGUGAGUGAAGAAGGCCCUAGGGUUGUAAAGCUCUUUCAGAUGUGAGGAUGAUGACAGUAACAUCAGAAGAAGCCCCGGCUAACUUCGUGCCAGCAGCCGCGGUAAUACGAAGGGGGCUAGCGUUGUUCGGAAUUACUGGGCGUAAAGGGCGCGUAGGCGGACUGGUCAGUUUGGUGUGAAAGCCCGGGGCUCAACCUCGGAACUGCAUCAAAUACUGCCAGUCUAGAAUCCCGGAGGGAGUGUGGAAUUUCUAGUGUAGAGGUGAAAUUCGUAGAUAUUAGAAAGAACACCGGUGGCGAAGGCG